GUUGAGAGUCAACCACAUUGCUUGGGUCUGGAGUCACAUGUAGGCCAGACCAGCAGUCCUGGGGCAGCGUGCAGGGAAGUAGUCCCUGAGCAGCAUGAGGGGAAACCCGAGUCCCGGGGCAGUGCAAGGGGAACGAGUCUUGGAGCAGCGCAACUUACCUUGGUGCAGCAUAGUAUCGGUGCGCAGCGGGCUGGAGGCUUGGAGCGGAGUGGAACAGAUUUUGGACUGGGACCUAGCGCGGGAGGUCGGACCACAUGCUGAGCCAUUGUUAUUUGAAAUUCUCUACCGGACUGUAAUGUCAAUCCUUUAGCUAUGUUAUAUCCAUCUUAUUUCUAACUUAUUUUUUCAAUACUGUAAGUAAUGUUACUACGUUUCCUUUUAUUCCUCCUUUGCAUCCAAGAUUUGUGCCUAAGAUAGCACCAUUAAAGGCAGCCAUUGUAAAAACUUUUCACUGUGCUCCUGUACUGGAGUACACGUGACAAUAAAGGAUAUUCUGUUCUAUUCUA